CCAGACUCCUACGGGAGGCAGCAGUGGGGAAUAUUGGGCAAUGGGCGCAAGCCUGACCCAGCAACGCCGCGUGAAGGAAGAAGGCUCUCGGGUUGUAAACUUCUUUUAUCAGGGACGAAGCAAGUGACGGUACCUGAUGAAUAAGCCACGGCUAACUACGUGCCAGCAGCCGCGGUAAUACGUAGGGGGCAAGCGUUAUCCGGAUUUACUGGGUGUAAAGGGAGCGUAGACGGAAAGGCAAGUCAGAAGUGAAAGCCCAAGGCUCAACCAUGGGACUGCUUUUGAAACUGUCAAACUAGAGUACGGGAGAGGUAAGAGGAAUUCCUAGUGUAGCGGUGAAAUGUGUAGAUAUUAGGAGGAACACCAGUGGCGAAGGCGGCCUGCUGGACGACAACUGACGGUGAGGCGCGAAAGCGUGGGGAGCAAACAGGAUUAGAUACCCGAGUA
rnacentral:rRNA from 1 species